GUAACAGAGAGAGUUCGAUUAUGGCUCAGAUUGAACUGGCGGGAUGCUUUACACAUGCAAGUCGAACGGCAGCACGGACUUUGGUCUGGUGGCGAGUGGCGAACGGGUGAGUAAUGUAUCGGAACGUGCCUAGUAGCGGGGGAUAACUACGCGAAAGGUAGCUAAUACCGCACACCCUUCGGGGGAAAGCGGGGACCUUCGGGCCUCGCACUAUUAGAGCGGCCGAUAUCGGAUUAGCUAGUUGGUGGGGUAACGGCUCACCAAGGCGACGAUCCGUAGCUGGUUUGAGAGGACGACCAGCCACACUGGGACUGAGACACGGCCCAGACUCCUACGGGAGGCAGCAGUGGGGGGAAUUUUGACAAUGCGGGGAAAUCCCCGAUCCAGCCAUCCUGGCGUGUGCGAUGAAGGCCUCGGGUUGUAAAGCACUUUUGGCAGGAAAAGAAACGGCACGGGAUAAUACCCCGUGCAACUGAUUGUGUUCGCAGAAUAAGUACCGGCUAACUACGCCAGCAGCCGCGGUAAUACGUAGGGUGCGUUAAUCGACAUUGGGCGUAAGCGUGCAGGCGGUUCGGAAAGAAAGAUGUGAAAUCCCAGAGCUUAACUUUGAACUGCAUUUUUUAACUACCGAGCUAGAGUGUGUCAGGAGGGAGGUGUGGAAUUCCGCGUGUAGCAGUGAAAUGCGUAGAUAUGCGGAGGAACACCGAUGGCGAAGGCAGCCUCCUGGGAUAACACUGACGCUCAUGCACGAAAGCGUGGGGAGCAAACAGGAUUAGAUACCCUGGUAGUCCACGCCCCAAACGAUGUCAACUAGCUGUUGGGGCUCUCUGGGCCUUGGUAGCGCAGCUAACGCGUGAAGUUGAAUUUCCUGCCUGGGGGCAUGGUCGCAAGAUUAAAACUCAAAGGAAUUGACGGGGACCCGUACAAGCGGUGGAUGAUGUGGAUUAAUCUCGAUGCAACGCGAAAACCUUACCUACCCUGACAUGUCUGGAAUCCCGGAAGAGAUUUGGGAGUGCUCGCAAGAGAACCGGAACACAGGUGCCGUAUGUUGUCAGCUCUUGCUCUCCGUGAGAUGUUAAGUCCUGCAACGAGCGCAACCCUUGUCAUUAGUUGCUACGAAAGGGCACUCUAAUGAGACUGCCGGUGACAAACUGGAGGGGAAGGUGAUGACGUCAAGUCCCCGCGGCUCCGCGGGUAGGGCUUCAGCCGUCAUACAAUGGCUCUGGACAGAGGGUCGUACAACCCGCGGAGGGGAGCCAAUCCCAGAAACCCGAUCGUAGUCCGAUCGCAGUUCGCAACCUGGACUGCGUGAAGUCGGAAUCGCUAGUAAUCGCGGAUCAGCAUGUCGCGGUGAAUACGUUCCCGGCCUUGUACACACUGCCCGUCACACCAUGGGGAGUGGGUUUUACCAGAAGUAGUUAGCUCAACGUAAGGAGGGCGAUUACUACGGUAGGAUUCAUGACUGGGGUGAAGUCGUGGCAAGGUAG
rnacentral:rRNA from 1 species